rnacentral:lncRNA from 1 species
GGAAACUGUAUGUGUUUGAACCAUUCCCCAUUUGCACCAUUAUCCAUGGGACCAAUCAACCUCAAGUAAACAAAGGAAAGCCAGUUAACCUUUGCUUCUCGCUAGGACAUCUGCUAUUGUUCAACAGAAGGCCGGGGCUCCUCCUGAUGAAAUCCCCAAGCUGGCAAACAACCGUAUAAGUGCUGCUGGAUUAAAUAAAUGUUGAACAAGUUUCACUCAGAUUAUUGCAAAAAAGGAUAUAUAUUUUUUCUAUUUUAAAUCCAUAGUUAACUACAAAUCACUCCAGAUACCCAUAAGACGGUAUAUCUUGAAACAGGAUUUUUUUUCCCUGAAUGUACAGACACCUCCUAAAACCUUUCAAAUGGCUUUCAUAAUUACUCAUAGCCUGGUGUGUUUUUUUAAAGACAUAUUCAUGUAAAAUAAUUCUCUCUUUCUCUCUCUCUAAGGAGACCAAAGAAAUGUGUUCUCAAUACUUAGAGCUGUGGUAGAAAAAUCCCAGUCCAGAGGCCUAAUCCACCUGAACCACAGCCUUUUUCCCAAAUCCCUACCAUCUGGAAGUGCAACAUCCUGGCGAAAUCUGGAGGAAGACCCAAGAUAGGAGAUGCCUACAGUGGCAAAGAUUUCCAGUGGAUGCCCUGGAAAACAGACAACAAGUGUUGCAGAAACACAGACAGCAUAAUUGUACCUACUGUGUGGCACAGGUAGCAGAGAAUCACUUCCAUUGCAUUGGUAAUGAAGUAGCCAGCAGAAAUUUUAAUGGUUAAGAGCAGAGCUUCAAAUCCUUCCUUCCCUCAAUUUCCUGGCACAGGUUGAAUCCACUUGGUGGUGCUGGGCCAUCAGUCUUUCUCUCCCUGCCUUCGUUCCACAAGUGUAAAAUAGGAAUGACAGCGCAUCGUAAUCGGUGGACCAUUGAUAAAGAUCUAAGAUACAUCUUAGAUAUACUUAGAGCUUAAAUAUGCCCAUAAAGCAAAGGCAUUUAGAGUUAUAAAAUUAAGAGACAGCGAUAUAUGUUCAGGAGGUUUGUCAUUGCAUAGUUACAUGGACAGAUGCAAAGUCUGACAUGAUUUUUACAACAAAACAGUGACAGAUGUGCCUCCACUGUCCAGGGGCUGAUAAAUUCAUAUGGGCAUCUAGUAGGUCUCCUGAUCAUCCUCCUUGAGGUUCUUUAUCUUUAAAUCCUGCAGGGAGGGAACAGAGGAAAUCUUCGAAGAAGGCUUGAUCCCUGGCACCCAUUUGAAAAGAGGGCAUCCAGCUACACUAACAGAUUUCCUCCUGGCAUGUGUAUACCUAUUCCUGGAAUUUAACAAAAUCCUUUUACAUGGCAUAGAAAAAUAGGAUCUAACUCUUGGAGCAAAUUGCAAAGUAAUCUGUUGAAUACUGCGUUUUUCGGAUUCCCCAUGCAACUGUUAAUGUCUAUAGUGAUCUAUAAUGUCUACAUAGGGCAAAUUGACUCCAAAAAUUCCUCCUUAUACCUCACUUUCUAAGGACAUUAAGCUUUUAAAAGCAGUUUGUUAAAUACUCUGAAUAACUAAUGAGAGAAACAAGAUUAUUGGGAUAGAAGACUCUAUAAAACUAAACAGCUUGUCUCUGCCUCCUUCUGAAUAGCCUUCUAAGAAGUAAUACAGUAGGACUCUCUU